CCUUUUCGCUCAUCUCUUUCUCUCUAAUCCCUUUCAUCACUUUUCCCUUCCUCGCUGAAAAAACCCUAACUUAUAACGCGUCCACCUUCAUUUUUUUCCGAUCGAAACAGGAAAUUAAAGAGAUGGAUAGUUAUUUCAUAUCAUCUCAGUAUCUCUUUUUGUUUCUCUUGAUGUUUCUUUUCACUUUCACAAAGUAAUCUCAGAAUUUUUUUUUAUACAAUAUACAAUCUCAGAUCUAUAAAUUGGGGUUAGCGUUUUUUGUUUUUGAGUUUAGGGUUACAGACAAGAGUAAAGAUUUUUCUCGCAGCCUCGAUUCCCCAUCUUCCAGACUUCCACCACCGAAGCUUUACUCUUUCCUUUGAUUUUUCUUCAAAUUCAUCACCAUUAUAAUCGAGAUGAGGAAUUAGUUCGUGGAGGUGAUGCUGAUAGAGGAAACAGGAAUCGAGAAGAAGUAGAGACGGGAAGUUUAAUUUGAAAAGUUAGGGUUUUGAAUUUUAUUGAAGUUUCAAUUUAGUGAUAAACAAGAAGAAAUUAAAGAUUGGGUUUGGUGAUUUGAGGAUUAUAAAUCGAUGUUUGAACUAAAAUUAGAGGAAGGAAAUUGGGAAAUUAUUUUAGGGUUCCGAGAAUAGAUGAUGGUGAUUGAAAAUAAAAUUGAUAGUUAGGAUUUUUAUUGGAAGUAUUGAGAAGACUUCCAGUGAUUGUUCGAAGUAUUGAGAAGACUCUGAUUAAGAGAGGAAGUGGCAGAGGAAAUCCUAGGGUGAUUCUUGCUUCAUGGGAAGCCGAAGAAGACAUGGGAGAGCACAUAAAAUCCUAAUUCAGGGGAAGCUGAAGACAGGGGAAGCUGACAGAGGAAGGAUUACCCCUAUUCAGGGGCUUUCCUUAAAAAUGGUAAGAAUUUUUUUGAGUUUCCCCGGGAAGUAAGUUUGGCCAAGUUCAGCAAUUGCAUAACGUUAUUGCACGAUAGUAAGACAAGUGGGGAUGAUCUAUCUAAUCGUCGAGGAGCACGAUUUGGCAAAAGUUGAAAAAAGAGAAAUCCAAUUACCCAAUCACUGUCUGAACUUAACAUAAGUACUAACUAAUGGACAAUGAAUGAAAUGGACAAAAAUAAGUAUCUGAUGUACUAUGCUGUAUCCAGGCUUGAUUCGUUGUCAUUAAACUUGACUUGUUUCUCAGCUGCUGCUUGGGCUGCAUUGCAUUAUCACCUUGUUUUUCUUUGAUUGUUGUUCAUUUCAUAAGUCAGAAUUUUUUCUCUACUACAUUCUAUCAGACUAAACAACGUAGCUAAUUAUUAAGCAGCCGCUGUUUUCUUGUUAAUCUUAGACUUGUGUGUAAUGCCGCCAAUGGCCCCUUGAUAAAUAUCUCAUUUUCUUGUAGUUUUCCUAUUGGUCUAGGGCACUGGAGCUUUGAGGUUGCGGCCAGGCAGACAGUAUCGCUGCUUCACCAGAUCUCUAUAGCGUAAAUCUUGGCUCAGAUGUAGAAUUUUUGUUGUGGCGGCUUAUGGGAUUGAAGAGGUCCGACCCAAUAAAUUGUCCGGAAUCAACUACGCCUACGUGGAAACGUUUAGUUAGCAUGCAAAGGACUUGCACAUGCAGCUCUGGUAGUCUUCCCCCUAUCGUCUGCACCUCUAUGAUCAGUUGUCUUCAUUGUGCUAGAUGAAUGGGACCAACCUUCACUGGAAUUGAGAUUUGCUGUACUGUUCGUGUCAAGGUUAUCCAGGUCUUCAAGUGGCCACCAAUUUUCUAAGUUUGCUGAAGACGGUUUACAAUUUUCUAAAGACAUAAAUCAAUAUUACAAUUUGUAAUGGUUUGCUUGUCCUUUGUGAUCUUGGACUUGUGCCCACAUUGUUCAUGUAAUUUUUGCGGAGUAAUGGAUGUAUAAAGGACUGAGUGCAAUUGAUAGCACAAUAGAUAGUACAUAGAUAGCAUAACGCACUGACAUAGAUAGCACUUUGUAGGGUCAAGUUAAAUCAAAUGUGUCAAUCACAGCUUUUCAUGGAUGGUUAUUUUCAAUAUAAAAAGUAAACAUUACUCUUGCUGGGA